UACGAAGGGGGCUAGCGUUGCCCGGAAUCACUGGGCGUAAAGCGCACGUAGGCGGACUCUUAAGUCGGUGGUGAAAUCCUGGAGCUCAACUCCAGAACUGCCUUCGAUACUGGGAGUCUCGAGUCCGGGAGAGGUGAGUGGAACUGCGAGUGUAGAGGUGAAAUUCGUAGAUAUUCGCAAGAACACCAGUGGCGAAGGCGGCUCACUGGCCCGGUACUGACGCUGAGGUGCGAAAGCGUGGGGAGCAAACAGG
rnacentral:rRNA from 1 species